rnacentral:rRNA from 1 species
UACGAAGGGGGCUAGCGUUGCUCGGAAUCACUGGGCGUAAAGGGAGCGUAGGCGGGUUAUCAAGUUGGGGGUGAAAGCCCGGGGCUCAACCUCGGAAUUGCCUUCAAAACUGAUAACCUGGAGUAUGGAAGAGGUAAGUGGAACUCCGAGUGUAGAGGUGAAAUUCGUAGAUAUUCGGAAGAACACCAGUGGCGAAAGGCGACUUACUGGUCCAUUACUGACGCUGAGGCUCGAAAGCGUGGGGAGCAAACAGGG